rnacentral:rRNA from 1 species
CCUACGGGCUGCAGCAGUGGGGAAUAUUGGACAAUGGGCGAAAGCCUGAUCCAGCCAUGCCGCGUGUGUGAAGAAGGCCUUCGGGUUGUAAAGCACUUUCAGUGGGGAAGAAAGCCUUGGGGCUAAUACCCUCGAGGAAGGACAUCACCCACAGAAGAAGCACCGGCUAACUCCGUGCCAGCAGCCGCGGUAAUACGGAGGGUGCGAGCGUUAAUCGGAAUUACUGGGCGUAAAGCGCGCGUAGGCGGUCUGAUAAGCCGGUUGUGAAAGCCCCGGGCUCAACCUGGGAACGGCAUCCGGAACUGUCAGGCUAGAGUGCAGGAGAGGAAGGUAGAAUUCCCGGUGUAGCGGUGAAAUGCGUAGAAAUCGGGAGGAAUACCAGUGGCGAAGGCGGCCUUCUGGACUGACACUGACGCUGAGGUGCGAAAGCGUGGGUAGCAAACAGGAUUAGAUACCCGAGUAGUC